AUCCUUCGCGUACAAAAUUCUUCGGGGCAUUCCCCGGUGAGUAAAUACAAAUUACCUCGGGGCAUUCCCCGGUUAAAUAAAUACACUUUCCAAAUACGAUAAACAAGACAUUCAACAAAUAUUCCAAUCAUUCCAACACUACACCGAUCCUAAACUUGCCUACCCGAGCUUAUUGUUUGCUUACCCGCUCGACGACAUAUCGCAUUCAACACCAACAAUGUAUCAAACUAUCAUAAUAUUCAUUUUUAUCAAUUUUUCGAUUCC
rnacentral:lncRNA from 1 species